rnacentral:rRNA from 1 species
AGUGAACGCUGGCGGUAGGCCUAACACAUGCAAGUCGAACGGCAGCACAGUAAGAGCUUGCUCUUACGGGUGGCGAGUGGCGGACGGGUGAGGAAUACAUCGGAAUCUACUUUUUCGUGGGGGAUAACGUAGGGAAACUUACGCUAAUACCGCAUACGACCUACGGGUGAAAGCAGGGGAUCUUCGGACCUUGCGCGAUUGAAUGAGCCGAUGUCGGAUUAGCUAGUUGGCGGGGUAAAGGCCCACCAAGGCGACGAUCCGUAGCUGGUCUGAGAGGAUGAUCAGCCACACUGGAACGGAGACACGGUCCAGACGCCUACGGGAGGCAGCAGUGGGGAAUAUUGGACAAUGGGCGCAAGCCUGAUCCAGCCAUACCGCGUGGGUGAAGAAGGCCUUCGGGUUGUAAAGCCCUUUUGUUGGGAAAGAAAAGCAGCAGGUUAAUACCCCGCUGUUCUGACGGUACCCAAAGAAUAAGCACCGGCUAAAUUCGUG